rnacentral:rRNA from 1 species
CUUGCUCCACCGGAAAAAGAAGAGUGGCGAACGGGUGAGUAACACGUGGGUAACCUGCCCAUCAGAAGGGGAUAACACUUGGAAACAGGUGCUAAUACCGUAUAACAAUCGAAACCGCAUGGUUUUGAUUUGAAAGGCGCUUUCGGGUGUCGCUGAUGGAUGGACCCGCGGUGCAUUAGCUAGUUGGUGAGGUAACGGCUCACCAAGGCCACGAUGCAUAGCCGACCUGAGAGGGUGAUCGGCCACAUUGGGACUGAGACACGGCCCAAACUCCUACGGGAGGCAGCAGUAGGGAAUCUUCGGCAAUGGACGAAAGUCUGACCGAGCAACGCCGCGUGAGUGAAGAAGGUUUUCGGAUCGUAAAACUCUGUUGUUAGAGAAGAACAAGGAUGAGAGUAACUGUUCAUCCCUUGACGGUAUCUAACCAGAAAGCCACGGCUAACUACGUGCCAGCAGCCGCGGUAAUACGUAGGUGGCAAGCGUUGUCCGGAUUUAUUGGGCGUAAAGCGAGCGCAGGCGGUUUCUUAAGUCUGAUGUGAAAGCCCCCGGCUCAACCGGGGAGGGUCAUUGGAAACUGGGAGACUUGAGUGCAGAAGAGGAGAGUGGAAUUCCAUGUGUAGCGGUGAAAUGCGUAGAUAUAUGGAGGAACACCAGUGGCGAAGGCGGCUCUCUGGUCUGUAACUGACGCUGAGGCUCGAAAGCGUGGGGAGCAAACAGGAUUAGAUACCCUGGUAGUCCACGCCGUAAACGAUGAGUGCUAAGUGUUGGAGGGUUUCCGCCCUUCAGUGCUGCAGCUAACGCAUUAAGCACUCCGCCUGGGGAGUACGACCGCAAGGUUGAAACUCAAAGGAAUUGACGGGGGCCCGCACAAGCGGUGGAGCAUGUGGUUUAAUUCGAAGCAACGCGAAGAACCUUACCAGGUCUUGACAUCCUUUGACCACUCUAGAGAUAGAGCUUCCCCUUCGGGGGCAAAGUGACAGGUGGUGCAUGGUUGUCGUCAGCUCGUGUCGUGAGAUGUUGGGUUAAGUCCCGCAACGAGCGCAACCCUUAUUGUUAGUUGCCAUCAUUCAGUUGGGCACUCUAGCAAGACUGCCGGUGACAAACCGGAGGAAGGUGGGGAUGACGUCAAAUCAUCAUGCCCCUUAUGACCUGGGCUACACACGUGCUACAAUGGGAAGUACAACGAGUCGCGAAGUCGCGAGGCUAAGCUAAUCUCUUAAAGCUUCUCUCAGUUCGGAUUGUAGGCUGCAACUCGCCUACAUGAAGCCGGAAUCGCUAGUAAUCGCGGAUCAGCACGCCGCGGUGAAUACGUUCCCGGGCCUUGUACACACCGCCCGUCACACCACGAGAGUUUGUAACACCCGAAGUCGGUGAGGUAACCUUUGA